rnacentral:rRNA from 1 species
CCUACGGGUGGCAGCAGUGAGGAAUAUUGGGCAAUGGACGAGAGUCUGAACCAGCCAAGUAGCGUGAAGGAUGACUGCCCUAUGGGUUGUAAACUUCUUUUAUAAAGGAAUAAAACGAGGCACGUGUGCCGUUUUGCAUGUACUUUAUGAAUAAGGAUCGGCUAACUCCGUGCCAGCAGCCGCGGUAAUACGGAGGAUCCGAGCGUUAUGCGGAUUUAGUGGGUGUAAAGGGAGCGUAGAUGGUAGUGUAAGUCAGUUGUGAAAGUUUGCGGCUCAACCGUAAAACUGCACUUGAUACUGUCAGUCUUGAGUACAGUUGAGGUAGGCGGAAUUCGUGGUGUAGCGGUGAAAUGCUUAGAUAUCACGAAGAACCCCGAUUGCGAAGGCAGCUUACUAAACUGUGACUGACAUUGAGGCUCGAAAGUGUGGGUAUCAAACAGGAUUAGAUACCCGGGUAGUC